rnacentral:snRNA from 1 species
GAGCUUGCUUCAUCAGCACAUAUAUGAAAAUUGAAAGAAUAUAGAGAAGAUUACCACAGUCCGUGCCCAAGGAU